GACGAACGCUGGCGGCGUGCCUAAUACAUGCAAGUAGAACGCUGAAGGAGGAGCUUGCUUCUCUGGAUGAGUUGCGAACGGGUGAGUAACGCGUAGGUAACCUGCCUGGUAGCGGGGGAUAACUAUUGGAAACGAUAGCUAAUACCGCAUAAGAGUAGAUGUUGCAUGACAUUUGCUUAAAAGGUGCAAUUGCAUCACUACCAGAUGGACCUGCGUUGUAUUAGCUAGUUGGUGGGGUAACGGCUUACCAAGGCGACGAUACAUAGCCGACCUGAGAGGGUGAUCGGCCACACUGGGACUGAGACACGGCCCAGACUCCUACGGGAGGCAGCAGGAGGGAAUCUUCGGCAAUGGACGGAAGUCUGACCGAGCAACGCCGCGUGAGUGAAGAAGGUUUUCGGAUCGUAAAGCUCGGUUGUAAGAGAAGAACGAGUGUGAGAGUGGAAAGUUCACACUGUGACGGUAUCUUACCAGAAAGGGACGGCUAACUACGUG
rnacentral:rRNA from 1 species